GCUUUUCACAAAGUUAUCAUACAGGAGAUUCAACAAAGUGACACAAGCUAAGCCCUGGGGCUCGCUUGUGCUCAGAGGGGCAGGCACUUGCCAAAACUUUCUUCCUCCCCACUGCGCUGCCGCUCGCCUGGGCCUGGGGCUGGGCUGAUGGCAAGCAGCCGAGUGUUGCCCGCAGCCGCUGCCUGGGCUCGCUCGCUUUGGAUCGCGCUGCACCGCGGCGCUCCAGCCCUGCCUGCGAGGAGUGCGGGCUGGCAGGGCUCCAGGGUGGGCGUGGGUGUCCCGGCCAAAAGCUGGUGGUUUAAGGAAAUGCAGGGUUCCUAAUCUGCCAUCAGAAAAAAGCAAAUAUGCAGGCAAUUUAGCAAAGUGAAAGUGCAAUUCCCCGGGGAAUGCAUAAAUUAAGCUCCUGAGACUGCUGUGAAUGUUUAGCCAUGUUAAAUCUUUGGUCACUUGGCAUUUUACUAUCUUUAAGCUGGAUCAAGAGCACAUGUGUAGGCUUUAUCUGCUGAGGUUUUCGUGUGUCUACAAAUCCCUUCUGGCUGACGUUCGCAGCCUUAUGGUAAGACAGCACACAAGCAGCACCCCUGCAUGAAGCAGCAGCUAAUUCUGUACCUAAACCGACGCUGCAUGUGCAAUUUUCUAAUUUGCUUGCAGAAUUGCAGUGGUCUCAAACUGUUACAGAGGAGGUUUUUAAGUCUGGCCUUGCCUUGUGAAACCAGAGGAUGCCCUUAUGGGUAGCUUUGCCAUCUGUUGGUAACACAAGGAGGAGAACUUUUCACUUCUCAUUAUUUACUUAACCAUUUCUCUGUACGUUAUAAGAACGGAAGCAGCAGAUUAAAAUUUCCAGUUAAAAUAAGGAAAGGGAUUUGCAGUUUGUUUCUCACCUAACUCUUAGAAAUGGCUCAUAAAACCUGAAUGACUGGAUCUUUGCCUUUUAAUCCACCGAGAUGGUAUUUCCCAAGCAGUGGAAAUGCACCGCUGCAAAUCAAUCCUGAGCAGCAUCGUGUGUUUCUGAUGCAUUUGUCUGUGAUGAUUUUAACCAUAAGCAGAGGAGGAAAAGCCAGGCCUACUGAUGUAUUGUAUCAUAUAUUGUCACAUAUGCCAGAUAAUUUGUGUGAAUGUUGCUGUAAGAGUACUCCUCCUCUGGUGCAUUGCUAACAAGUUACGGGGCCUGGUCUGUGAUACCUAGAAAUAAAUAAGAGGGGGCAGGUGGGGAAUGACAAAAACAUUGGCAAAAUGGUGAUUGCUAUGCUGACAGCUCGUGCUGUCACUCACCGUAGCCUGCACGAGGGCUGUGUGGGGAUGCCAAACUGAAAACAAGUGCCACAAAACAGAUGCCAAACAAAAUAAGGUGCCUGCUUUUGUGCAGGGAUAGGAGGAUGGGGUGCAGCUCUUGCAGGCUGCUUGUGAGCCUUUAUGCCUGGCAGAGCUGGGAGAAUUAGAAGUGGUUGAGCCUUCUGCUUGCCCAGAAGGUACCUAAUGGGUGAGUGUUGAAGCAGGCUCUGUAUUUCUGGUGGGUGAAGGGGAGUACCGGACCCCCUACUGCAGUGAUCACGAGAGUGUUCCCGAGCUUUAUCUCGCUGUUAUCUCGCUGCCUUGAAGCGCCGCAGCGUGCAGCCCGGGCCUCUGUCCAGAAGCCUGGCUCCCUGGCACGAGGGCAGCGGCAUCCCCUCUUCUUCAGAUUACUUCAUAAACAUUGCAGUCCAUCCUGGAGGUGACUAGGCUUCGUUAUCUCAGUUAUAAAUGGGGCUAUCGCAUUUGUCCGCUUCUGCGGCGCAGAUGAAAGGUCUGGGUUUCCUCCUGCCUUAUCAGGCACCUGUUGCUUGCAUCCAGACAUUACUCACAUCCUUGAAGUCACAUCUUGCUUUGCAUAAUUAAUGCUGGCUGUGCUUCAUUUCCUUCCUUCCCGUGCAGUUUUGCUCUGUGGCCUUACCUGGCUAUGGACACAUUCGGUUUUAUUGGCUGAGGUUCUUACACGAGGAAUGGGAAGCAGCUUUGGCUCCUGGGACAUGGGCCCAUGAAAGACAAGGAUGUCUCAGUCUGGUCUAAAGGGUGUUCUUUAUUCUUGAACUGAUGCUGAGGCUGCAAUCUGCUGCGUGAAGUUCUGUACCAGUUCAUUCAGCAGUGGUUUAGGUUUGCUUCAUUAUUUUCUAUUAAACCAAAUUCCAUGCAGCAAACACCUGGCCCAGUGGGGAAGCUGUGCCUUCCUUCCCAGAGGGAACACCAUGCCUCAGGAACGUGAUGGGUGCACCCCAGGGUAACAGCGAGCUCCUGAGGUGCUUUGGGAUGACACCAGUGGGAAAUAUUUUCCAAAGCGUGUCCUUGUUGCUUGUUUUCAGGUGACUUCCAGCACUGACACCUGCCUCAUCGCAGCAGCCCGUAAGUGCAGUGUUUGAGUUGGGAACCAUUACGCCAGCACUUUUGCUUUCUGCAGUAAUUCACCAUUGACUUUCGUUUUGUAAUUCACUUCAGCUUUUAAUAUCUAUUGACCUGGAUCUACAUGAAUAAUUUAGUGUUUAUGAACAAUUGUAGUAACUGAACCCAUGCCAUUAACUAAACCAUGAGCUCAGGGAAGUAGGAUAAAAGUUCAUAAAAUGUAAAAUGAACACUAAGGGGUCUACCAUAGACCUGAGCAGAAUAGUUAUUUUACCUGUAAUCCUAAAGACAAUUUAGCUGCUUGGUGUUUGAGUGACAGAAUCAUGCCAGCACAUCUAUGUCUCUGAAUCCAUGCAGUUAACUGGCGUCGGUGCAAUAAGCGUCCCAGUUACAGCACUGGGAUUAUUGGGCUGUAAGCCUGAGGUAUGCGAUGUUUUCUGCAGAAUCAGGUGGUACAGUUCUUUAUUUUUUGCAAUUAUAUCUGACUUGCCUGGCAGCUUUAAUUCCAGCUGAGCACACUGUCUUCUGCACUUGCUUUUCAAAAUGUUGCCAGUCUGAAGAUGUUUGCUGAUUCGCUUCCUUCCUUUAGAGGAUACCGGGCUGGUUAAUGUUUGCUGUCUGCGGGCUCUCACCUAGUAUCAAAAUCUGACCUCAGAAUAUCAGCAAUUUGCAAUUCACCAAGAUGAAAAACUCCACUGAGGUAAGUGCAAACUCUGAAGUUGGUACCUCACCAGAAUGAAGGUUUCAGCUUCACAGCUACACGUAACUGUAGUUUGCACUGCUAGGAGUCCUUGGGGUGGAGAGCAGAUACGAGCUGGUUGUAAUGAAUAAACAGGACUUCUGCUGAAGCUGCUGUGAUCUUUCCUGCUGUCCAACUGGCAGAAUAACAAAGUGUGUUAUCAGACAGAGACUCUGUAAAUCUUAGAUAUGGAUUUUCCCAUCAUAGGCUCCAGACCUGAAACUGGAUCCACUCAGCACCGGCGGAAGGGACUGGGGGUUAUUUAACAACCUGCAGGACUCAGCCACUUGAGAGUGGAUUGGUGAGAGCCCCAUAGGAAAUCUUUCCAAGUGUCUCGGGUUGAGUAGAUCAUCUCAAGGACCAUAAAUUGUGAAUCUUUCUAUUUUUUUUUCCCAGAAUAUUUAUUUACAGUUCAGGUCAAUAAUCUCCAGAAAUACAAUUCUGCUUACAAACGAAAUUCCUGGGCUGCAUUCCCAGGCAUUCCCAUGUGACUUGAGCAUUUUUAGCAACAAAAUGAACAAAUGCAAACAUAUUUUCAGGGCACUGCAAGUGUUGCUAUUCCCAUUCGCUCUGCCUGCCUGGGAGCCCCGACCCCAGGUCCUAUGAAACUCAGCAGCGGUGAGGUCCCUUCUGCAGAGCAUCCCGCAUCGAGGGAGAGCUCACAACCUCGUGGCUGUCUGUGUAGGGCAGUCAUGGGGACAUUGGGCACCCAGGCUUGUGAGAGUUGGUGUAUAUAAAUUUAAAUGCAAACAAAGAAUUGAAGCUGUCAGCCAGUAACCUGCUAGCACAUCUUUCUCAAAAACCUAUCAAUUUACUUGUGACUAAGAAAAUGAAUUUUCAUGUGGAGGAAGCUGUGUUCCCUGACAAACAAGGCAACAUUGUGGAAAAUUACUGGUGGUAAAAGUCAUAGUGACCAUAAGGCAGUGCUUUACAAGCCUUUUGGUGUUCAUCUUGCCAUAGCAGGCCAGUUUGAUCCUGAAAAAUCCAAAUAUUGGGAUUGUUCUCACUUCUUCAGCGCUGGCCUGUAAAGAGAGCUAGGAAUUAUAGACAGCAGCCUGAUAAAAGUACUGCCUCCUCCCCUGAAAUUCUUGCCAGUACUCAGUUACAUUUUGAACAAAAAGCUAGGACUCUUUCCUGAAAAGCUGUGUAACUUUUCACUGCAAGGCUCCAUUUGGAAUUGCUGUAAUUUUCACAAACUUAAGUUUAUGAAAAAUAAACUUAAUUUUCAUAAAAUUACUUAAUUUUCAUAAACUUAAGUUUAUGAAAGUUGUAGCAAAAGGGAGGUAUUUAAUUCCAUCUUAGUAACUGCAGUAGUUAGCAGCAUUUCUGUUAACUUUUAAACCUUAGUUUAAAAUGCAAGAACUUUACUGGGGAUGGUGUCGGCGCUCUGCAGCUACCUAGGUGGCAGGCUGAUGUAAAAUGAUAUUUUUGUGUACUGUAAAACCAUUCUGUACUGCAGUUCUCUGCUGCUUCCACAGGACUGGUGAUGAUUAACUGUGUAUCUUAACCAUAGCUGCUCCUGCCCUGUAAAACUAAUGUGAUUUGGUGUGGCCUCUGUUUCCAUCCCUAUGCAGUAAUUUUUUAUUUUUUAUUUUUUUUUUUGAUUCUGAUGUGUAUAUGUAAUGCAUAUCAUAGAAAAAGGAUGAAAAUGCUGCUGGCCCUACCCCGUGCCAUGCAGGGAGCCCCAGCCCAGGGCCAGCCUGUCCCCACAGCACCGCUCCGCUCCCCUCGCUGCCCAUCAUUGCCUGGGGUAUGGCAGUGGAAUAAAACCAAACCAGCCCUUCCCUCUUUGAGGUAUUGCUGGGCAUUACAGAGUCACAUACUUGUACGUAAUUACUGUAUUCUAACACUUCAAUAUUUUCCUGACUACUUUCCUCUUGUCACUGCUUUGAAAAUACCCAGGUUAUAUCCAUUAAAAAGUUACAGACUACAAAACAUAUGAUUUCAAAAUAAUCUUUUUUUAACACUUAAACAUUUUUCUUUGUGGCCUUAACCUGUUACUUUCACAGAAUUUACUUUUUUUUUUUUUUUUUCUUUUAAGAACAUCUCUGAUGCUGUAUAUCGCAGUGUUAUGACAGCUCUGCUGGACCACAGCCAGCGGUCCGUGCUGUCAGAAUGCCCGUCAGUUCCGGCCGUUCUGCAUGGUGAAUGGCACGGUAAUGUGGAAACUUCAAACAGCAACAGGAAGAAAACUUUUCCAUCCAGCUGAACUCAGCAGGGAACCUGCCUGACGCUGCAGCAGGGGCUUGUGCACGAGCUCGGCGCUUGCCCCCUGUAAGGCACGGCGCUGGGCUCGCUAGCUGAGGGGUUGCUGCUGUAUUAUACAGGCGAGCGCAUCCAGCCCAGCGUGCUCGCUGGCUCCGAAGUUAAACCCUGCAAUUUGGAUCAACUUCAGCUUUUUUCCUCACUCUAAACCCUCUCUCCUGCAUUGUUCCCCUUACGUCCCUCCACACGGCCCUGUCCUGGUGGCAGUGGGAGCUGUGGGUCGCUGCCCACGGCCGGGCCAGCGAUGCGGAGCGGUGCGGGUUAGCGAGCAUCCGAGGCUGAGGGCUCGUCCCUGAAUGCACAUUGUUCUCCAAGCUCCCAGGACCAGAGGGGAGAAUAGUUGAACUGUUUACAAUAUUGUUUCGUAGGCUGCUAAAAAGCGGCCGUCUGUUUUUCAGAAGCGCAGCGAAACGUUUAUGAGCGUGGGACCUGCUCCAGCUCUCUGCCGCGGAGCUCUCGCGCCGGGGCCAUCCCGCGCCACGCGCCAGCCGGUGUGCGCUGCUCACAAAGGGGUUUCAGGACACACACACCUCAGCCAUUCCUCCCUUUUCCCAGAUGAGGAUCUUCCAGGUGCCCUGAUUUACAGAGCAACCAGGCUGGGCUGGACCAGCCCCAUCCUGCUGUGUUCGUUGAGCCGUGGUGAGGCUGCAGCCAGGGAGCACCGAGGACAUCGGGCACGGCGUCCUGUGGGUCUGCUCACCACAUCUGCCGUGCAGCGACUGCUUCUGGGGAGCCCCAGCCCCUUCCUCUAUUUCUGCACUGUGUGCGUGCCCCUGUGCUGCUGCAGAGCUACCAACAGCUGCUCCUGCCCUUACCUCUGAUAAUUCACGUUCGUCGUCUUAAGUUUGUGCGUUUAAUUGAAAGCAAAUUAAUAGCACAGCAGCUUUUUUCUCUCAUGCAAGAGGAGAGGUCGUAUAUCUGCCUCCGUGCUUUUACGGCUUUGUGUUGGUUAUUUCCAGCGCUGCAGGCUGCUCCUCAUGUGGGAGUUAGAGCAGGUCCUUCCAAAAAGUGACCUGUUUUUUUCCCAUGAAGAGACUUUGACGCAGGAUCACUCCAAAGCUCAUUAAGGUCGUUAAAAAUAUUUAUUUUAGGCAGAUGGAUGCUCUAACCAGAAUUGUAACCCAGUUGUAGCUAAAUGCAGGAAUAAAUCAGAAUUUGAGUUUUACUGUGAUGGCCAUGAAUGUUUCACUGUACCUUCGGCAUAAGGGAUCCCAUUGUACAAAUUUAGGAUGUCUACAGCUUUUACGCGGUUUCAUCUACAUUUCUUAGGAUUUAAUAUUUGAAGUUCCUUCUAGGGAUGUAUCAAAGGAAAAGCUGGAUUUAAACUCUAUUCAGAAAGUUUUCACAUAUUCAGAAUUACUUAGUGCUUAUAAAAGUAAUUAGCUUCCAUGGAGUACAUUUAAUACAUCCACCUCCUGGAAAUGGGGUGUUUUGUCCCGUUGGGCAGGGGCCGCGCGUUGGACCCGAGCAGAGCAGGGCUGUGGUUAACAUCCUCCCGACUCACCCGGGGACGUCCAGCCUAAACCCUUCCUUCCUGCCCAAAGUGGAAUUAUCAUUAACUCAUAACUCGUUUUCAAGAAGAACAUUUUUUUGUAGGCUGUGGAGUUCUUCCAAGAAUUUUUCAAUUUUUACAAAUGAAAAUAUAGUCUAAACCAGAUGCCAGCUGAAAUGCACUUACUUUAUACCAGCUAGCCAAGGCAAUGCACCACAAGCUCAGCAAUGUGACCUUUAAAAUAGCCUUUCUAGAACAAGCUGGUAAGAACACUUUCUAAAAAGCCACAAUUGCAGCUACUCUUAUUACUCAUAAUAUCCUUGAUGGAGAGGAACUUAAAAAUAAUACUUAAGGAACUUAAGCUUCAACAACCCCAAUAGACUUAGUUUCUGUGCAGCACAGGCUUCCUUCGUGGGAUUAUAGAUUUGAGACUGUGAUUAUAGUGUUGAUGAUAAUGUUCAUUUUCUAAAUCAUUAUUUGUGUAAGAAUAAAAUAAAACAGAAUAAAAUAAAAA